rnacentral:rRNA from 1 species
UCAGCAGCCGCGGUAACACCGGCGGCCCGAGUGGUGAUCGUGAUUAUUGGGUCUAAAGGGUCCGUAGCCGGUUUGGUCAGUCCUCCGGGAAAUCUGAUAGCUCAACUAUUAGGCUUUCGGGGGAUACUGCCAGACUUGGAACCGGGAGAGGUAAGAGGUACUACAGGGGUAGGAGUGAAAUCUUGUAAUCCCUGUGGGACCACCUGUGGCGAAGGCGUCUUACCAGAACGGGUUCGACGGUGAGGGACGAAAGCUGGGGGCACGAACCGGAUUAGAUACCCGGGUAGUCCCAGCCGUAAACGAUGCUCGCUAGGUGUCAGGCAUGGCGCGACCGUGUCUGGUGCCGCAGGGAAGCCGUGAAGCGAGCCACCUGGGAAGUACGGCCGCAAGGCUGAAACUUAAAGGAAUUGGCGGGGGAGCACAACAACGGGUGGAGCCCUGCGGUUUAAUUGGACUCAACGCCGGACAACUCACCGGGGGCGACAGCAAUAUGUAGGCCAAGCUGAAGACUUUGCCUGAAUCGCUGAGGAGUGGUGCAUGG